ensembl:lncRNA
AUCUCAGCAGAGCACAAGGCAAAGGAAAUUUAAAUCAAAAUCCAAUAAUCUGAACAAUGGAUCCCAGCCAGUCUUUUAAUCAGCCUCCAGGGGCCUGGAAUUCAUCUGAAAAAUCAGCGAUGUUGUAUCCUUCAGCACCACCACCAUACCAGGCCAAUCCUGCUGGAUAUCCUCCCUCCUUUCCAAGCCAGCCAUUCCCCCAAGGCCCCUAUGCCCAGGGGCCGUAUCCAGGACAGCCUGUGGUUGCUGUACAGCCUGCAGUUUUUGUGACCGCCGCUCCACUGGCUAGUCAAGUGCCAGAUUACUUGGGUUACUCUAUUUUUACCAUGCUGUGCUGCUUUUGGCCUCUGGGUAUUGCUGCACUUAUUUUCUCCUGCUCUACUCGAAAUGCCAACUUCUCAGGACAGCGAGAAUUAGCAGGGAAGAACUCCAAAACGGCGCUCAACCUGAAUCAUGCUGCCCUUGCUGCCCUUUUUUACUCCCUCACACAGGACCCUCCGGAGUACUCCGAUGCUGGAUUCUUUCCCUCUCACAGCAAUCCCAGCAAUUUCCAGCAAUACGGAGCUCCGGUGGCAUCUGGCCAGUACACUCCAGGGUCAUAUCUGGUGCAGAAUGUGGUCACUGUGCAGCCUAUGGCUGAAGUGUUCACUCCACUGGCCAAUCCACUGCCAGAUUACCUGGGCUACUCCAUCUUUACCAUGCUGUGCUGCUGUAUGCCUCUGGGAUCAGCUGCCCUUGUUUACUCCCUCACAACUCGAGAUGCUAACACAUUUGGACACCAGCAAAUAGCCAGCAGAAACUCCAGAAUGGCACGCAUCAUCAACCAUAUCAGUGUUGCUGUUGGUCUAAUCUUUGGUUUGAUUUAUACAGUCUGCAUCAUUCUUCCUUUUGUCGCAUUUACACCCAUUCAUGGAUUUAGACCAUAAUUGUAAGCAAUCUCAUGCAGGACACCAGAAAGUAGAAGAUAGUGAGAGUUUUACAAACAGAAACACCUUAUGUUUUAAAUAUAAGCGCAUUUCUGGUUUUGCUUUUAAAUGUUAGUGUUGCUCAAGUUAUUUUUUGUGAUAAAGCUUUUAGACAUUUUACUGUAUCUAUGAGGAGCUCCAUCUAGAGGACCAGUGAGGAAAUAUUCAGCAUGUUUAAUGUCACCAACUCCUCACCAUAUCAUUGUUUAUACACAAUUAAAACACGCUUUUUAAAGUUAAUUAUUUUAAUUAAUGCUUUAUUAACGUGAAUCUAGCAUCAAUUUAUAUGUUUGUUUUUCUGCUUGUCUUUAUAUUACAUAAAACUUGGAAUAAUCAAUAACAAAUGUUGGAUGUCUAUUUUAACUUUUACAAGAGUCUGUUUUUGCCGUGAUACACUUACAUUUUAUUUUCUCUUGUUUUUAGUUUACUUGAGUAGUUUUGUAUUCUAAUUCAUCAUCAACUUCUUCUUCUUCUUACCUUUUUAAACUCAUGGGUUCUCCAAGGUAGCAGUCUUUACAAUUAAAGACCUCAAAUAAAAAAUAAAAAAAUGUCUAGUAACUGUAUUUA